rnacentral:lncRNA from 1 species
GUACUAAGUACUGGUACUAACUACGGGUACUAAGUACUGGUACUAAGUACUGGUACUAACUACGGGUACUAAGUACUGGUACUAACUAUGGGUACUAAGUACUGGUACUAACUAUGGGUACUAAGUACUGGUACUAACUAUGGGUACAAAGUACUGGUACUAACUACGUGUACUAAGUACUGGUACUAACUAUGGGUACUAAGUACUGGUACUAACUAUGGGUACUGAAUACUGGUACUAACUACAGGUACUAAGUACUGGUACUAACUACAGGUACUAAGUACUGGUACUAACUACAGGUACUAAGUACUGGUACUAACUAUGGGUACUAAGUACUGGUACUAACUAUGGGUACAAAGUACUGGUACUAACUAUGUGUACUAAGUACUGGUACUAACUAUGGGUACUAAGUACUGGUACUAACUAUGGGUAUUAAAUACUGGUACUAACUACAGGUACUAAGUACUGGUACUAACUACGGGUACUAAGUACUGGUACUAACUAUGGGUACUAAGUACUGGUACUAACUAUGGGUACUAAGUACUGGUACUAACUACGGGUACUAAGUACUGGUACUAACUACAGGUACUAAGUACUGUUACUAACUACUGGUACUAGUAUUGACAGUAGUCCAGGGAAUUCUAGCAUCUUAUCUCUUACUUAUACAGUAUCUUAUAUCUAAUCUCCCAGGCACUGUGAUCGCAGGUGUGUGUUUCCAGGUGCGUGUGUUUCCAGGUGCUUGUAUUUCCAAGUGCAUGUGUUUCCAAUAUGUGUUUCCACGUGUGUGUCUCCGGGUGCAUGUGUUUUCAGGUGCGUGUGUUUCCAGGUGCGUGUGUUUUCAGGUGCGUGUGUUUCCAGGUGCGUGUGUUUCCAGGUGCGUGCUUUUCAAGGUGUGUGUGUUUCCAGGUGUGUGUGUUUCCAGGUGUGUGUUUCCACCUGUGUGUUUCCAGGUGCGUGUGUUUUCAGGUGUGUGUGUUUCCAGGUGCGUGUGUUUCCAGGUGCGUUUCUUUCCAGGUGUGUGUGCUUCCAGGUGCGUGUGUUUCCAGGUGCGUGUGUUUGCGUGUGUGUGUUUCCAGGUGCGUGUUUCCAGGUGUGUGUGUUUCCAGGUGUGUGUGUUUCCAGGUGCGUGUGUUUGCGUGUGUGUGUGUUUCCAGGUGCGUGUUUCCAGGUGUGUGUGUUUCCAGGUGUGUGUGUUUCCAGGUGCGUGUGUUUGCGUGUGUGUGUGUUUCCAGGUGCGUGUUUCCAGGUGUGUGUGUUUCCAGGUGUGUGUGUUUCCAGGUGCGUGUUUCCAGGUGUGUGUGUUUCCAGGUGUGUGUUUCCAGGUGUGUGUGUUUCCAGGUGUGUGUGUUUCCAGGUGUGUGUGUUUCCCGGGUGUGUGUUUCCAGGUGCGUGUUUCCAUGUGUGUGUGUUUCCAUGUGUGUGUGUUUCCAGGUGUGUGUGUUUCCAGGUGUGUGUGUUUCCAGGUGUGUGUGUUUCCAGGUGUGUGUGUUUCCCGGGUGUGUGUUUCCAGGUGCGUGUUUCCAUGUGUGUGUGUUUCCAGGUGUGUGUGUUUCCAUGUGGGUAUGUUGGCACCCUUGGGAGGCAUACGGGCAAAGCUCAGUCACCUGGCAUCCAGACUACAUUGGUAGACACCACGGUGCGAAGCCCCAACUGGUCCGAUUGCCAAAGUUGACAAGACUUCCUAUCAUCAGGUGCUGCUUUCCUCUACUAACAUGACACCUCACCCUAUUCGCUGCAUUACCCAUGAGGCCCUGUUAUCCUCUAUCCCGCCCCUCCUAGCCUACCCAGCCCGACCUGCCAUCCCAUCAUGUUAUGCCAUCGCGGUCACCACCGGCGAUGAUUCGCACCCCAGUCGGUGGGGGCUCUCGGUGUUUCAGAGGUGUUGGCACCACACUGCUACCAGACAAGGUGUUGUAACCACACUGCUACCAGACAAGGUGUUGUCACCCCACUGCUACCAGACAAGGUGUUGUCACCACACUGCUACCAGACAAGGUGUUGUCACCACACUGCUACCAGACAAGGUGUUGUCACCUAACUGCUACCAGACAAGGUGUCACCCCACUGCUACCAGACAAGGUGUUGUUACCACACUGCUACCAGACAAGGUGUUAUCACCACACUGCUACCAGACAAGGUGUUGUCACCACACUGCUACCAGACAAGGUGUUGUCACCACACUGCUACCAGACAAGGUGUUGUCACCACACUGCUACCAGACAAGGUGUUAUCACCACACUGCUACCAGAC